rnacentral:rRNA from 1 species
AUUGAACGCUGGCGGCAGGCCUAACACAUGCAAGUCGAGCGAGCGGCGGACGGGUGAGUAAUGUCUGGGAAACUGCCUGAUGGCGGGGGAUAACUACUGGAAACGGUAGCUAAUAACGCAUACCAUCAGAUGUGCCCCGAUGGGAUUAGCUAGUGGGUGGGGUAAUGGCUCACAUAGGCGACGAUCCCUAGCAGGUCUGCGAGGAUGACCAGCCACACGGGAACGGGGAAACGGUCCAGACUCUUCCGGAAGGCAGCAGUGGGGAAUAUUGGACAAUGGGGGCAAGCCGGAUGCAGCAAUGCCGGGGGUGUGAAGAAGGCUUUCGGGUUGUAAAGCACUUUCAUCGGGGAGGCGUUACCCGCAGAAGAAGCAACGGCUAACUCCGUGCCAGCAGCCGCGGUAAUUC